GCCUCAUGAAAUGGCUUACACCCACAUACCCGGUAAAUUACACACUUUGAUGUUCUGCUCCUUCUCCUGACGGUCACGGUAACGAUGUCUGCGCCUCCGUUUCUGUGGAUGUCCAGCGUGAGACACAACUUGAAUCCAACCAGACUGAACACUGACUCCAGGGACGGACGAGCCUGAAGGACACAGCUGUGAUGACCAUGUUCUGUCUCUUAUGACAAAGCAGAAAUAUAAAACACUGGGUUCUUAUCUAAAGUGUAUCAAAUCAGAUCUCCACCAUGUUGCUGCUGAGGACAUCAGGUGCUGCAGUUCUUCAUCUAUGAAGAUGAAAAAACUCACUGUUAAAGAAUGUUUUGUGUUGUGUAUGAAGCACAACAGAUUUCAGAUAGAACCGUUGUACUGUGGUCUGGGUUUGUAUCCUAAUGGUUAAAUGCACAUAUUUUAAGUCGCUUUUGAUAAAAGUACUGAAAGAAAUACAACAUUGUAAAAAUAGAUAAAAUGUCUUUCUACCUCAUCUGUAAUAUUCAAGGUGAUAAUCUCCCACAGAGCUAUUGAUAACAGUCCACAUCAAGUCUCUCCACUUCCCUCGGUGUGAAAACAUAAUUAUAUAAUUAAUUUGAG